rnacentral:rRNA from 1 species
ACGCUCGACACCUACGGGGGGCAGCAGUGGGGGAUAUUGCACAAUGGGCGCAAGCCUGAUGCAGCGACGCCGCGUGAGGGAAGACGGUCUUCGGAUUGUAAACCUCUGUCUUCGGGGACGAUAAUGACGGUACCCGAGGAGGAAGCCACGGCUAACUACGUGCCUGCAGCCGCGGUAAUCUGAGCGGGCUGGCAAGGC